rnacentral:rRNA from 1 species
UACGGAGGGUGCAAGCGUUAUCCGGAUUCACUGGGCUUAAAGGGUGCGUAGGCGGGCAGGUAAGUCCGUGGUGAAAUCUCUGAGCUUAACUCAGAAACUGCCAUGGAUACUAUUUGUCUUGAAUAUUGUGGAGGUAAGCGGAAUAUGUCAUGUAGCGGUGAAAUGCUUAGAUAUGACAUAGAACACCAAUUGCGAAGGCAGCUUACUAGACAGUUAUUGACGCUGAGGCACGAAAGCGUGGGGAUCAAACAGG